rnacentral:rRNA from 1 species
ACAGAGGUGGCAAGCGUUGUUCGGAUUCAUUGGGUGUAAAGGGCAGGUAGGUGGUCGGGUAAGUCUGUCGUGAAAUCCCAUGGCUCAACCGUGGAACUGCGUUGGAAACUGCCUGACUUGAGUACCGGAGAGGUGAAGGGAAUUCUCGGUGUAAGGGUGAAAUCUGUAGAUAUCGAGAGGAACACCAGUGGCGAAGGCGCUUCACUGGCCGGUUACUGACACUGAGCUGCGAAAGCAAGGGGAGCUAACAGGA